rnacentral:rRNA from 1 species
UCGGGAAUUAUGCGCAAUGGACGAAAGUCUGACGCUGCGACGUCGCGUGGGUGAUGAAGGUCUUCGGAUCGUAAAACCCUGUCGAGAGGGAAGAAAGAGCGGGCGCUAAUAUCGCCUACUUCUGACGGUACCUCUGGAGGAAGCCCCGGCUAACUCUGUGCCAGCAGCCGCGGUAAUACAGAGGGGGCAAGCGUUGUUCGGAAUUACUGGGCGUAAAGCGUGCGCAGGCGGCUCCUUAAGUCAGAUGUGAAAUCCCCGGGCUUAACCUGGGAACUGCGUUUGAAACUGAGGGGCUAGAGUGUGGAAGAGGGGGGUGGAAUUCCAGGUGUAGCAGUGAAAUGCGUAGAGAUCUGGAGGAACACCGAUGGCGAAGGCAGCCCCCUGGGCUAACACUGACGCUCAUGCACGAAAGCGUGGGGAGCAAACAGGAUUAGAUACCCCAGUAGUCCCUGAGCGGGCUGGCAAGGCGCAU